AGAAACUCCGAUUGCGAAGGCAGCUCACUGGACUGCAACUGACACUGAUGCUCGAAAGUGUGGGUAUCAAACAGGAUUUAGAUACCCUGGUAGUCCACACAGUAAACGAUGAAUACUCGCUGUUUGCGAUAUACAGUAAGCGGCCAAGCGAAAGCAUUAAGUAUUCCACCUGGGGAGUACGCCGGCAACGGUGAAACCCAAAGGAAUUGACGGGGGCCCGCACAAGCGGAGGAACAUGUGGUUUAAUUCGAUGAUACGCGAGGAACCUUACCCGGGCUUAAAUUGCAGUGGAAUGAUGUGGAAACAUGUCAGUGAGCAAUCACCGCUGUGAAGGUGCUGCAUGGUUGUCGUCAGCUCGUGCCGUGAGGUGUCGGCUUAAGUGCCAUAACGAGCGCAACCCUUAUCUUUAGUUACUAACAGGUCAUGCUGAGGACUCUAGAGAGACUGCCGUCGUAAGAUGUGAGGAAGGUGGGGAUGACGUCAAAUCAGCACGGCCCUUACGUCCGGGGCUACACACGUGUUACAAUGGGGGGUACAGAAGGCAGCUAGCGGGUGACCGUAUGCUAAUCCCAAAAGCCUCUCUCAGUUCGGAUCGAAGUCUGCAACCCGACUUCGUGAAGCUGGAUUCGCUAGUAAUCGCGCAUCAGCCACGGCGCGGUGAAUACGUUCCCGGGCCUUGUACACACCGCCCGUCAAGCCAUGGGAGCCGGGGGUACCUGAAGUACGUAACCGCAAGGAUCGUCCUAGGGUAAAACUG
rnacentral:rRNA from 1 species